GUCCUCGCCUCAGCAGCACAUAUACUAAAAUUCGAACAAUACCGAGAUUAGCAUGAUCUCUGCGCAAAGAUGACAUGCAAAUUCGUGAAGUGUCCCAAUAUUUU